AACGGCAGCACGGGGCAACCUGGUGGCGAGUGGCGAACGGGUGCAGCAAUGCAUCAGUGGCAGACGGGUGAGUAACACGUGGGAACCUUCCUAGGGGUACGGAACAACUCAGGGAAACUUGAGCUAAUACCGUAUACGUCCGUGAGGAGAAAGAUUUAUCGCCCUUAGACGGGCCCGCGUCGGAUUAGCUAGUUGGUGGGGUAACGGCCUACCAAGGAGACGAUCCGUAGCUGAUCUUAGAGGAUGAUCAGCCACACUGGGACUGAGACACGGCCCAGACUCCUACGGGAGGCAGCAGUGGGGAAUCUUGGACAAUGGGCGCAAGCCUGAUCCAGCCAUGCCGCGUGAGUGAAGAAGGUCUUCGGAUUGUAAAGCUCUUUUGCCAGGGACGAUAAUGACGGUACCUGGAGAAUAAGCCCCGGCAAACUUCGUGCCAGCCGCCGCCGUAACAC
rnacentral:rRNA from 1 species